rnacentral:rRNA from 1 species
GACGAACGCUGGCGGCGUGCUUAACACAUGCAAGUCGAACGAGUGGCGAACGGGUGAGUAAUACGUGAGUAACCUGCCCUGUUUUUGGGAUAAGCCUUGGAAACGGGGUCUAAUACCGAAUAUAGGGGGUUGGGCGCGCGGCCUAUCAGCUUGUUGGUGGGGUGAUGGCCUCCGAAGGCGGUGACGGGUAGCCGGCCUGGGAGGGUGACAGUGGACAUUAGGAAUGGGCUACGCCCCUGAGUGCGGCGGGAGGCGGCAAUGGGGGACAUUGGACGAUGGGCGGAAGCCGGAUGCAGCGGCGCCGGGUGGGGGAUGUAGGCUUGCAAGUUGCAAUCCUCUUUCGCUAACGAACGGGUAGGUGGAGAAGAAGCGCCGGCUAACUACGUGCCAGCAGCCGCGGUAAUUC